UACGUAGGGUGCGAGCGUUGUCCGGAAUUAUUGGGCGUAAAGGGCUCGUAGGCGGUCUGUUGCGUCGGGGAGUGAAAACCCAGGGCUCAACCCUGGGCCUGCAUUCGAUACGGGCAGACUAGAGUUCGGUAGGGGAGACUGGAAUUCCUGGUGUAGCGGUGAAAUGCGCAGAUAUCAGGAGGAACACCGGUGGCGAAGGCGGGUCUCUGGGCCGAAACUGACGCUGAGGAGCGAAAGCGUGGGGAGCAAACAGG
rnacentral:rRNA from 1 species